rnacentral:lncRNA from 13 species
GUUCUGGGGUACAUGUGCAGAUCAUGCAGGAUUGUUGCAUAGGUACACACAUGGCGAUGUAGUUUGCUGCCUCCAUCCCCCCGUCAUCUACAUCUCGCAAGAAAAUUUGAGGAGUCCACGCUGUCUCUCUGUCACUGAUGGCCAGUAUAUGCCUCAUGGGGUGGAGCUCCUGCCAAAUACUCACUUUCAGAAUUUUCUGCCUUUGUUUGCCUGUGCCAGAAAGGACCUUUUCUCCUUUUCUCCCUGGAAAACUCCUGUUCAUCCUUUAAAGCCCUUCUUCGUAGAAAUAUAUCUUCGUUGUUUCCUACUCUCUCCAAAGAGAAGAAAUAGCCCCUUCCUUUGUGUCUUGUUUAUUCUUACAUUAUUGCGUGUAAAACAUUAUUAUUUUUGUUUUGGUGUAAGUCAUCUUCUCUCUCUUCCUCACUGUCAGUACCAUGUGUCUCACUCAUAAGGCAUGGGUCUCAUUCAUCUUUCUGUCCCCAGCUUAGCCUGGUACCCAACCCAGAGUGGCAGCUCAGUAGCACAUUGCUGAAGUGAACGGAAAGGUCUGAUUGGAGCACAGGAGCUUGGGGGACCAUUUGCACAGGGAAGGAAGGGGUCCUGAUAGAACAAGCUAGCAUCAGCUCAGUCUGCAGAAAGACCUUUCUAUGAUGACAUUGACAGAUCUGUAGUCAAGGUAAAGUUGUCUGGGAAUGUUGUGCAGAGAGACAUCUGCAGAACGUUUGCUUCCUAGGGCUGAGGAUCUUAACUGGGUGCAGGGCAAGGGAAUCAUGGCGGUGAGAUCAUGGAUAGAAGUAUGACUUAGGUUGGUCUAAAAAUAAAUUGCUAGGGGUAGGUUGACA